rnacentral:rRNA from 1 species
GACGGAGGAUGCAAGCGUUUUCCGGAAUGAUUGGGCGUAAAGCGUCCGCAGGUGGCAGUUCAAGUCUGCUGUCAAAGCGUGGAGCUUAACUCCAUACCGGCGGUGGAAACUGAUGAGCUAGAGUGCGAUAGGGGUAGCAGGAAUUCCCAGUGUAGCGGUGAAAUGCGUAGAGAUUGGGAAGAACACCAGCGGCGAAAGCGUGCUACUGGGUCUGCACUGACACUGAGGGACGAAAGCUAGGGGAGCGAAAGGG